rnacentral:rRNA from 1 species
UGGGGAAUCUUCCGCAAUGGACGAAAGUUUGACGGAGCAACGCCGCGGUAGUGAAGACGGCCUUCGGGUUGUAAAGCUCUGUGAUCCGGGACGAAAGAGCCUGAGGUAAAUAGCCUAAGGAAGUGACGGUACCGGAAAAGCAAGCCACGGCUAACUACGUGCCAGCAGCCGCGGUAAUACGUAGGUGGCCAGCGUUGUCCGGAAUUAUUGGGCGUAAAGCGCGCGCAGGCGGCUUACUAAGUCCAUCUUAAAAGUGCGGGGCUUAACCCCGUGAUGGGAUGGAAACUGGAAAGCUGGAGUAUCGGAGAGGAAAGUGGAAUUCCUAGUGUAGCGGUGAAAUGCGUAGAGAUUAGGAAGAACACCGGUGGCGAAGGCGACUUUCUGGACGAAAACUGACGCUGAGGCGCGAAAGCGUGGGGAGCAAACAGG